UACGGAGGGUGCGAGCGUUGUCCGGAAUCAUUGGGCGUAAAGGGCGCGUAGGUGGCCCGGUCAGUUCGUGGUGAAAGCGCGGGGCUCAACCCUGCGUCGGCCAUGAAUACUGCCGCGGCUGGAGCACUGUAGAGGCAGGCGGAAUUCCGGGUGUAGCGGUGGAAUGCGUAGAGAUCCGGAAGAACACCGGUGGCGAAGGCGGCCUGCUGGGCUAUGGCUGACACUGAGGCGCGACAGCGUGGGGAGCAAACAGGG
rnacentral:rRNA from 1 species